rnacentral:rRNA from 1 species
UACGUAGGCAGCAAGCGUUGUUCGGAGUUACUGGGCGUAAAGGGUGUGUAGGCGGUUCCUUAAGUUUGCUGUGAAAUCUCCCGGCUUAACCGGGAGGGUGCGGUGAAUACUGAGGGACUAGAGCACGGGGAGAGGAAAGUGGAAUUCCCGGUGUAGCGGUGAAAUGCGCAGAUAUCGGGAGGAACACCAGUGGCGAAGGCGGUUACCUGGAGCUUUGCUGACGCUGAUGCGCGAAAAGCGUGGGGAGCGAGUCCGG